ACAUGCAAGUCGAACGAUAAGCCACCUUCGGGUGGUGGGACAGUGGCGCACGGGUGAGUAACACGUGGGGACCUACCUGAUAGUACGGAAAAACAGUUGGAAACGGCUGCUAAUACCGUAUACGCUCUUCGGAGGAAAGAUUUAUCGCUAUCAGAUGGACCCGCGCUAGAUUAGAUAGUUGGUGAGGUAAUGGCUCACCAAGUCUACGAUCUAUAGUUGGUUUGAGAAGAUGACCAGCCACAUUGGGACUGAGACACGGCCCAAACUCC
rnacentral:rRNA from 1 species